UCAUUGCAGGAUGUGGGCGGUUGCAGACGUUGAAUAAGCAAUUUUACAUCUGCUAAAAUAACAAAGUGCAAGAACAAGCAUGUGGUCAGGUAGAUACUUGAGAAGACAGAAGUGUCUGCAGAAGAGAAGUCUAUUUUCUACUGAACGGAAGUUUUAAAACUUUAAUUAGAGAGGUUCAUUAAUUGAUUCGUGCAUAAAUCUUCUGGGAGGCAUUUACUUGAUAUGAAUGAAUUUAAAACAUUUUCAAGGUAAUUCAAAUUACAUUGAUUAUAAGUCAGAUAUAUAGAUGUAACUGAUCAGCAGGUUCAUUAUUCUUAUCAUCAGCUGACGGCUAUUUAUUUAAAAUAAAUGUCAAAAUGACUUAAAUCUAAUCUAAAAUGAUAUAAUAUUGUACAAAAUGACUUAGAUUUCAUCCAAAAUGACCUAAAAGCGCAUCUUAAUUGACUUAAAAUUUGACACUUGUCCUAAACAAGUUUUAAAACUGUCCAAAGGGACUUAAAAUAUCUUUUAAAAUGAGUUUAAAAAAUCCCAAAUGACUUAAACUGUCUAAAACAAUUUGAGAUCCGUCCAACGUGAGAUAAAAUCUGUUCAAAAUGUUGUGAAAUGUGCCUGAAAUGAUUUGAAACUCGUCCAGAAUUACUUACAUAACAUUUGUCUCGAGUUAAAAUUAGUUUAUGAUUCAAACUAUGUCCAGAAUUAGUUUUAGAACGACCUGAAAUGUGUCCAAAGUGACUUGGAAUGAUCAAAAGUCCUCCAUAUGACAAAACACUUACUGUGUUUGAACAGUUUAAAAUGAGAAACGGUGAGGACAAAUGAGACAGGAGGUAAAAGUAAUAACUAAUAUAAAUAUUUCUGCUUUAAAUCAUUUGCAAACUGUUCAGAAAAGACUAACAGCUGUUUACAUCAUACUGAGAAAAGUUCCGUUUGGUUUUGUGCAGACGGUGGUUUCUAUUCGUGUCAAUGCAACACGUUCGAUAUAUGAUCCGAGGUUCUGAGGUUAUAAAGGCAGAGCUCAAGAAGUAAAGUCAUUGUGGGUUGAACUGAGCAUCGAUCAGAGAACUCCUCCAGAGAACUUCUCCACCCGGCGAAGAAGUCCGUCAGAUUCAUCUGAGCCCCGUUCCUCUGCACAAGGAUGAUCAUGAGGAGGAUCAUGAGGAGGAUCUAACCAGCGUCUGGACAAACACCUGAAGAAAACCGGUCUCCACUCAGUGUGAAGACGACCCUGAAGGACGUGGCGGCGUGGUGGUUUAUGGCGAGGAGACCUUCCCCGCGCCGAUCCAACGGGACCAGAACGAGCCGACCACCUCUGCUGGACAACCAGAACUUCACAGUUCUGUGCAGGUUUUCCAGUGGCCAAGUCACAUGACUGACGAUCUGAUGGGAGACUCUGAAGCUCCAGAGGCCGACAGCCUUGAAAAGCAAGAAGAGGACGACUAAGGACAUCAAACCAAAGUCGCAAAGAGAUUCGUAACACCACCUGAUUGUCUUAAAAGUGUUUAAUAACUGGAAGACUUUCUGAAGAGGACAUCGCGGUUUAACGUCGAGGUGGUUUUAAAUGGAACAACCUGCCGGUGUCCACGUAAAGUUUCUUCUGUUCGCAUGGUCACACUAAAGAGAACAGAGGGAACCUUUAACAUCACGUUUAUAGCGUUUUUUAUUAUCACUAUUAUUAUUUUGUAUGUCGUAGAGCUUUACACUUUCCAGCAGAUGCCUUCAGUGACUCUAAUGGUGGAAUGACUGUUGCAAAAAGAAAGAAAAAAACAAAACAUGAAAAUAUAUAUAUUUGGAGUCCCUUUCAACACUGAUCAAGUUUUUUUAAUCUUUGGAUGCAUUAAAGUUGUAGCGUGACAUGUUUAAAUUAACUUAAUUCUCAUCAUGUUGUCAAACUAAACAUCGAACAGCUUUAAUAUUUAAUAUCUAAUAUUUAUUGGUUUCUCCGACCACAGUCCACAGUUUAAACUUCUGUUUAAUUACUAAUUAUCUGUGAUGUUUUUUUUUCUGUCAGUUCUUGAGAAGUUGAUGUAAAAUCCACUACUUUGCUUC